GCCCAGCUCUGAACAUGCUCCAGCCCCUCAGCAUCCCCCCUGCAGCGAGGGGCCCAAUCCCGCACACAGGGUUCCAGAUGCGGCUGCACCAGUGCCCAGUGCAGGUCACUGCCCUGGCCUUGCUGGCCACACUGUUUUGGACACAAGCCAGGAUGCUGUUGGCCUCCCUGGCCACCUGGUCACACUGCUGGCUCACGUUCAGCCGGCUGCCAGCCAUCACCCCAAGGUCCUUUUCUGCUGGGCAGCUUUCCAGCCACUCUUAGAAGAGAAAAGAGAAUAGAAGUGAGAAGAAUAUUUUCAGUUGGAAGGCUCCUACAAUGAUUAACUAGUCCAGCUGCCUGACCACUUCAGGGAUGAUUAAAAGUUCAAGCAUAGUAGUAAGGGCAUUGUCCAAAUGCCAGCCCGUACAGGCAGAGGAUUGAUAAAUAUAUUGAACAGCACUGGCCCUAGGACUGAGCCCUAAGGAGCACUGCUAGUGACCAGUUGCCAUCUAGAUGUAACCCCAUUCUCUACAAGUCUUUGGGCCCUGCCCUUCAGCCAGUUCUUCACCCAGUGGACUUGCUCAUCUCACAGUUGGACACCUUGUCCAGAAGAAUGCUGUGAAGGACUAUAUCAGAAGCCUUACUAAAAUCCAGAAAAACAACAUCCACUGCCUUGCCUUAAGCCACUAGGUGGGUAACCGUAUUACAGAAGGAUAUCAGAUCAGUUAAACAGGACUCUCUCUCUGUGAACCCUUGCUGACUGUUGUUGACAAUUGCAUUAUUCUUUAAAUGCCUUUCAACAGUACCCAAUAUAAUCUUCUCCAUAUUUUUUCCAGAAACUGAGGUUAGACUAACAGGUCUGUAGUUUCCUGGGUCUUCCAUGAUGGCCCUUCUUGUAAAUUGGGAUAACACUGGCUAGCUUCCAGUCAGCGGGGACAUCCCUACACUCACAAAAAGGAAGCCUGGGCUGCCAUUCAGCGAGGCCUGGACAGGCUGGAGAGCUGGCUGGAGAGGAAUCUCAUGAAGUUCAACCAAGGCAAGUGCAGGGUCCUGUCCCUGGGGAGGGAAAGCCCCACGCACCGGCACAGGAUGGACUGACCUGCUGGGCGGCAGCUCUACGGAGAAGGUACUGGGAGUGCUGGUGGGCAGCAAGUUGCCCAUGGGCCAGCAGUGUGCCCUCGUGGCCAAGGGGCCAGUGGCACCCUGGGGUGCAUGAGGAGGAGUGUGGCCAGCAGGUCGGGGGAGGUGAUCCUCCCCUUCUCUGCCCUGGGGAGGCACAUCUGGAGUGCUGUGUCUGGUGCUGGGCUCCCCAGUUCCAGAGGGAGCUACUGGAGAGGGGCCAGUGGAGGCUACAAAGAUGAUGAGGGGAUGGAGCAUCUCCCCUGUGAGGAAAGGCUGAGACAGCUGGGCCUGUCCAGCCUGGGGAGGACUGAAAGGAGACCUUAUCAAUGCCUACAGAUCCCUUCAGGGCGAGUGCCAAGAGGACGGGGCCAGGCUCUUCUCAGCGGUGCCCAGCGACAGGACACGGGGCAACGGGCACAAGCUGCAGGACAGGAGGUUCCAUCCGAAUACGAGGAAAAACGUCUUGAUGUGCGGGUGCCAGAGCGCUGGGACAGGCUGCCCGGAGGGGCUGCGGAGUCUCCUUCCCUGGGACAUUCCAAACGCACCUGGACGCGCCUGUGCAGCCAGCCCGAGGUGACCCUGCUUCAGCAGGGCUUGGGCUGGGUGCUCUCCAGGGGUCCCUUCCCACCCCCACCCCUCUGGGGUUCUGUGAGAUGGAUAGUCAUUGUUCCCUCAGUCGUGGUACUCCAACUCAGCAGAUGAGGAAGCCCAAGGUCUAUCAGUAUUAUUAAAAACUGAAGCAAAAAAAGCAUUGAAUAAUAUAAAUCCACUCUUACCGUCAGUUAAGCUGUAGGGGAUGAAGGGAGUAACAAAACUCCUUUCUUCUAGUGUGGGAAACUAUUCUCUUGACAUAUCAGACUGAUUGCUUUGGCGACUGUACAUCCUGUGAUAGAGGAGGAGUUUAAAAUGGCAAGUAAUUGGGGAGAAAAUGGUAAGAGUGGAUUUAUUUGAGGAAAUUAUGCUAUUGGCAUGGCUUUUCACUCACUGUCUGAGCCAGGCUCAGGGAAGGGGUGGGGAAAAGUACUGUUUGCAAGCAGUUGCAAUUGUUGCCCAUGAGAAUCAAAAUGUCCUUGAUUUGCCUGCUGAAUUUUUCCAUGAGUAAAAUGGGAUCAAGCAAUGUUCUUUCUCCAGACUGCUUUCUAUUUUACUGUACGUCCCCGCAGAGGAACACCACAACUACAGAUGGAGUGCUGCUCCAGCGCUCCUGAAGGACGUUAUCUCAAAAGCCUGGACUCAGAUUUUAAGAAGGUUGCAAAAUGCUUCACAAAGAGAAGUCAGCAUCAUUACAAAUAGGGAAAAGGAGAGAGAGUGGUGAAGUGACCUUUAUAUGGAAAUGCAGUGAUGGAAACAGGCAAGAUUUGCUGAUUCCUAACCACUUUCCGUGCAGCUACAGAUAUGAACUCUGAGUCCCAUGAACAGAAACUCCACAAACCCACAUGUAACUAAUUAGUAUGAAUCUCAAAGUUGCCUGCAUGCUCUGGUUUUCCUCUACAAAACAAAGCAGUUUGUGUGUUAGGGUUAAGUCUGUUAACGACUCAGUCCCCUCCUGAAUGCUUUGACGGAAGAGUAUGAUGGCUUAGGUCUGGUUACAUGCAAUAGAAAGGACUGAGGAGACAGCAAACAAGUAAUCCUUACUCAUUUGGUCUCCUCCAGUGGAGGUAUGAGGUUUGGUUUUCAAGAUGCAUGGUUGCUGUGCUGGAUGACAGUGUAACAGUGCUACCAUUUGAACAUACACAGUGGGAAAAAAAUCCAUCAACAUAUCUAAAGAGUGGCUACAAUUUGCAGCUGUGCAGUUUUUCUGCUGGCAAAUUGCAAAUUAAAUGAAAUGAAAACUGCAUGGCACAAUUCCCUACAUGCAAGUACAAACUGGAGCUAAUCCAUCAGUUUCUAGGAGUUCUUUGGCUCUGACAGAAGAUAGCAGAGACCGGGGUAUGCACCUAUUGCUGGCCUUCAGCUGGAAGUACGCAGGAUCAAAGAAAUCAUGUGGAAUAAGGACGGGAAUGUGGAAUACUGCUGUAAUUCUGGAUAUUUGUUCUUAUUUCAACUAUUUCAAUUUUUUUUUUCAUCUUUGUGCUUUGGUUUUUCUUUUAAUAGCUCUGGGAAAGGUUCUGGUUUCUUUCUUUCCCUUGGGCAAGGAGAAAGGCAGAGGAAUGUAAUGACCUUUAAUGCCUCCCUAGGAUCUCUGCAGUGCCUCUGGGGCUGGCAGGCAGAAAUGCGAUGGUAAAAACUUCAUUUGUUCAGACCCGUAUAGGCAUUUUCAGCAGCAGCCUCCCUGGCCGAUUGCGCAGGCGGCUGACCAGAACUCUGUGCCAGUGCCAGACUGGGACAGGCCACUGCAACUACAAAUCGGGGUCCUAGUGGGGACACAGCUUCUAGUGAAAAAAAAAAAAAAAUAAAAAAUUCCAGUCUCAUUGGGUUUGGAUGAAAAUUAUCUUUAUUAUAAUUAUUAUAUUUAUAAAAUAAUGUAUUAACAUAUAGUAAUAUAUUAUAUAUUUAACAACAACAAUAAUAAUAAUAAUAUAAAAACAUUCAUACCGUAUGCAAAUGGUGGUCAUCAGAAUACUUUAAGAACUUGAGAAUUUACAUGAUGUGUAGAGGUAGAAGCUACUCACCUCAACUGAAACAUAACUGUCUUUGUGAUGAAACCACAAAUCUCUUGCUCGAUGAGCUGCCUAGUAGCCUGAAGGUGCUUGCAGGGGUAGUGGGCACCGCAGUUCCCUCCUCUUACGGGUUUAACAACGGGGAUGGAGCAGCCCCUUGCAGCUGUAUCUUCUGAGUCUCCACCAUGUAGGUAAGUGGAACCAAUUGGAUCUUCCAAGUUGUAGCGUUUGAUUAGUGGUAAUCUAGACAUUUCUUUACUAAUGUGUAGAAGCAUAUGCUACUUUUAGAUGUAUUUUCUUUGUACCUUCAGAAAGAGAAAGAAAUUCAUUUAGGAAAUGAGAUCAUGACCAACUGGCUACAAAAGAAAGAGGAGGCUUCCAGGAUAAAGUUUCUAAAAGUAUGAGCUGGAAGGUGUUUCAAGUUAACUGGAACAAAGAUGAACAAUGUCCUGACUGCAGGUUGAUGCCACCACCCGAGGAGGCACUCUUCUGUCGCAGAGGGGAAUGAAGGGGCUGGCAGGGAUCCCAAGGUAAGGUGCACGUACAGCUUGCUGCAACAGAUUGGCUCUUCAGAAUGGACAGCCUGACCAGCUGCUAUGCGCAGCACAGGGCAAAAUCCAGAGCUCCAUCUUCUCUACUUUUGCUGCCUAUUUGAGUCAACAAGCAGCUGAUUAUGAUAUCUAAAAAUGGUGCGUCUGCACUAUGUACUGGUGUGUCCCCCACUGCGCAUGACGGGUAGGUGACAUCUGUUCUUAUGGUAAGUGGGAAGACAGAAAUCUGGACUCCCAUCCUUAGGAAAUCAGUCACUGUGGCUUUUUUUAAUUUGAUGGUUUGUUUUAAAAAAUGCUCAGAAGUGGUUUGUCACGAGCUAUGGAACAGUUUGAUGUCCUACUGACCCCUGUUUUGGAUUUUUUUUUCCCCAGUAACAAAAAAUUAGGGUCGAUUUCUGUUGUGUUGCCCAAAAUGUCCUCUCAUUGUAUUUGUCUUAUCUAUACUCUUAACAUUCAGACUACACCCAAUAUGGACAGCCCUUCUCACUGCCUGUAGAAGGAAAACCAGCUUCUUAGCAGCUUACAGCCUGUUCAGACCAAUCUCUUCUUUGCAGUGCCCAACUUUCUUUCAGUAGAAAAAAUCAAGUUUACAGGCAUCCUAGCCAAGCUUCCUGUGUUGAGAGCGUGUGUUUGUACCUCCACAUGCCCUUCUGCUGGUGCGAUACCUAAACAUUUCGAGGAAAAAGAAACUCCAGCUGUAAACUGAACUGCACUACUUGUAUGCUAUUGCUUGGCACGUUUCUUUAAAAGGGGUUGCUAAAGCCAGCAGCAUUGGUGCAGACCGAGCUAUUGGUGUCAGCCACCAGCUACAAUCUGUUAGUGGUUUUGAACCACAGAAUUUCUUAGAACAGAAAAGGAACUCAUGAACAAUUCUGGUUAGCAUGAACUAGGUCAUCAGACCUUUUCCCUGGCUUGGAUGCAGAUAAUAGAAGUGAUUAUGAUUGGUCCUUGGUUUCAUAACAGUGUCAGUCUGGACCAACUUAUUAAGGUAAGAGAUGUCAAUCUGCAUCAGGGCUAAGCUAAGGGCCACGACUCAUUAAUGUGAGUUUGCUAGUCCAUGCAGGUAACUGUCAGCAUUUACUGCCAGCAAGUUGAGGGAGGUGACGUUCCCCUUCUACUCCACUCUGAUGAGACCCCCAGCUGCAGCGCUGCAUCCAGCCUGGGGGCCCCAGCAUAAGGACAAGGACUUGGAGUCACAGAGGAGGCCACAGAGAUGAUCAGAGAGGUGCUCCAGCCCUCUUCCCAAAAGGAGAUGCAGGCAGACCCUGUAACUGCAGUUACCAUGGGGAGCAAGUCUCUGUAUAACCAGGUUUGCAACAAACACAUUGCAAGAAUGCAUAUUUAAAGUUAUGGGAAAAUUGCACCGCAGUAAAUAUUCAAGAUAAAUUUGUAAUUCCUAUUUAACAUCAAAACAGAAAACUAAAAUUUUUCAAUGUGUGUGUGCCACAAACCCUUCCCUAGAAUUAUGUGAAACACAGACUUUACAUUUCUCUGGCAAAAAAGGGUAAAAAAAAUCAAUAUGUGAUAAAGCAAAUUACAACAGAAAUUUUAGGUAAAGUAACACAUAUAGGCAUUCCUUUCUGCUGCCUAAACCCUUCAGCACUUUUGUGUAAGGUAUGCACCGUGUGAGAGUCAGUGCAUUCCAUUAAGGAAGUGUUGAAAGGCAGGAUUUUUUAUAACAGCAUGGUAUUUUGACGUUGCCAUCUUCUUUCUUUUUGCCGAGCCUGCCAGUGAGUUUUGCCUCCACAGAAUAUAAUUUUCAAUGAAUUGGAAUUGUCUGUGAAAAUUCUUGCCACAACAUUUCCCUCUAGCUCCUUUCCAGAAGCUUUAGACUGUAAAGUUCUAAUGUCAUAUUAAAACAGAAGCACAGUUAUAAAUGUCUACUGGGUUUGCAGAUUGUUAAGAUCUCACACCUAUUUCCCUUAAUACAUUGCUUUUUUUUUUUCAUCUUGCACUUUCACCGCAGGCAUACUUUCCAAACUUGCUUUGCAGAUACAACUUGCUUCAGUUUUCAAUUAACAUUGUGGUGCAUUGUUGGAUAAAAUAGUGUCCCACAUCAAUUUGAAUAGGAUUUGCUCAUUGGGCUGUGCUGGCAAAACUCUAAGUUCACUUCUUAAGCGCCGAUCUGAAAGAACAGCAAAACCCCAACCCCGAGGCCAAACACCUGCCAGGGCUGAUGCGAUAGGGAUGGGGCCAGGGAGAGUCAGGACGGGCUUCUGCCUACAAAAAGACUUGGAAAGGUGUUGGCUUUGGUUGUAAGGCAGACAAGCCUAGACCCUGAAAAAAUGUUUUUAUUUUUUUAAACAAUGAAAUAAUUAAAAUAAUUUGAAACAUCAUAAUAUAAAUUAUAUUAUAGUAAUUAUUACUUUUAAAAACACUUGUUUAAAUGUUGUACAAUAUAUUACUGAAGCCAGUUAUCCCAUCUGGAGUGUGUAAAGUCAAGCACAUGUGUCUGUUUUUGCAAGACAUGGGCUGUAAUUUACAACUUGGAUUUCUAGAGCUGUGCUCCCACACAGAAAACACCGUCAAGAGGUCCCUCAUGCCACAAACCCACGGGGAGGAUUGUCUGCAUUGCAGUGAGAGGUCCAGUGAGUUACAGGUUUCAGCCUCUGAAAAUGAGACUUUAGAAAAUGGGAUUUAGAAGUUUUGAAAUCUGAUAACAAGCUGUUACGUUACAUCGGCAAUAGAAAUACAAAACCAUGACUGUAACAGUUGACUAUGGUAAACACAUAAGGAUUGAAUUUUCAGGUUAUUAAAAAACAAUGCUUAUUUAAGAUCCUUUCUGAAUUAGGUACAUUAUAUUUUGCAUUUUUGACAGGGAUGUGAGAAUUCCAUUUCUGUCAGGACUUAAUUACAUGUCAAAGAUUGAGGAGGGCUGCAACACUGGUAAAAUCUGGCCCUGGAAGUUUGUGAAGCUAGAGUUUUUUAAAAGUGUUUUCUCUUUUUGAUUUAGGAGCUGAAACAGCUUUCUCUGUCAGCAAGGGUUUUGUUUCUUCAGCUUCAUGGAAAAUCUAGAAAAGCCAGAGUUGCUAAUCAGGCAAGUAUGAUUUUACUUGCAGGUUCUUUUUUUGCAAGAUGUAUUAUUCAAAACACACAGAUAUUUCUAUUUCUUUAACAGACCAAUUUGAUGUUUCAAACUUCCAUGAGAUUUUCAAAAAAAGCAUGACACCCAAGCAAAAAGCACAAGGUACUUUCAACAGUCAUAUAAGACUUCAAUUGCUUUUAUACACACAGAAAGUGGAAGGAGCAAAAGGCAACUUCAGGUGUCACCCCUAAAAUCUGUAGGGCUUUCUGUCCUGCCUUACCUCAGGGAAAAGUCUUUGCAAAUUCUUACCCGCCUGAUACGGAGAGUUAUAAGCCAAGGGAAGGAAUACAGAUAAAUAAUACCAGCACAAUUAUAGGCAAUUUAUUUUUCCUUGGUGUAAACAAAAUAAUGUGGAAUAGGCUGGAAUGCAAGCCAGGAUUUGCUUCUGCUUGUGGAUGUCACCAGCAGUUAUAUUAGGGUUGGUGUUACCAUGGCCAUCAGGCCUUAAGGACCGGAGAGGGCUUGGAGUGCCUCAUACGUGGGCCUAUAGGGAGACAAAAAUUAAAAAAAACAGAUGAUGCUCUGAAAAAAGGAAUUAUACCUGAUUUGUUUUCUUACGUAAUUUUUGCAAAGUCUCUAGUAAAUUAAAGGAUUCCUUGCCACUUGCAGACCAUUCUUGCCUUUUGGAACAUGUUUUGUCACACCUUAUAAUACUUUUGAUAAAAAGGGAUAAAAUCAGUCUUCCCAGGAGGAAGGAUAUAGGAAGCGUUUGCAUGAAGAAGACAGCAGGACAGGGCAUGCCUGCCAUCAUCUUGGCAGUGCUAAGGAAACCAGCAGGGAGCAAGAGGUCUUGCUCAUAGAAGGCGAGCAAAGGCUGUCACUCUCAGGAUUUUUCUCUCUCUCAAGGAAGAUCCAUCCCCAUUUCUGGUCUGUUCUCAAGCUAGCACAGAUCAUUGCUGCUGCCUGCUGCCCUGAGGCUGCACACCUCCUGGGGCAGAGGCCUCUUGCCUUUGGAAAGCAAUCUGAACAAUAAUGGAAAUAAAGAGUUCUUCUCUCUGCUCAAUCAAUAUUAAAAUAAUUUUAUAAAAUGGAAGAGGUUCAAACAUUUUCAGUAUGAAAGCACAGUGACAGAAUACAAAUACCACAGAGAAAUACAUGAUAGGCUCCAGACUUCUUGUGAGUGUAAUAUCCUCCAUGAGGCUGUAGCUGCUAGCAGCCGCUGAAAUGUUACAGGCUCAGAAAUCUGUAAAAUAUAUUAGCUGGCAAUAUGUCCUUGAUAUCCUCAGAAGUACUUGCCAGAAGCUUAUUUCAGAUCUAAGUCUGUUUCAAGCAUUUUAAAAGCUAAUUCACCUUUUGAGCAUAGGCUACAUGUAAAUUUCCACUACGAACCUGCAAUGCCGAAGAGCCAAUUUCGUAUCGAUUCAGAUACAUGUGGCAGUUCAAGCCUUCCAAUUUAAUUCUCAUUUUAUUGGUGUUUUAUUCCUCAUUCAUUCCUGAGUUACCUUACCACAGAAGUUUUAUUUGUGUUUGUUCAAGUAGGUUUUUUCCCGUGCCAGAAGUCUAAGAUGGAUAGGUAUGCCACUUUGUUUUCUUUAGGAAAAUAUCUGGAGCUUCCGCACUUGUACUCGGCACGUUUAGCAGUCAGUGUUUGGAUCAACGCUUGGAUUGCAUCCCUGACUCUUGUCUUGGACAACCAAGCAAGCUAUUGAUGUCCUUUGAUUUUCACUACUAAGCAAUUUUGUCCAGUGGGUGACAUAACUUCUGUGGUAUUUCUGGAAAGAAGCUUUCUUCAGAAAUCACUCUUUUUAAAGGAAUUACUUUGUCCUUUCCUAAAUAUUUCUUGUGUUAUACUUCCAUUAAUCAGCUAACAAUCUUCAAAUUCAGAAUACAAAGCAAUCUCUAUUUUCUCUCAUCUGUUGUGAGGCCAUAUUAUGGCAUAAAUAGCAUCCAAUUACAUUAGUGCUGGGAAACACGUUAUAGCUUAAUUACAAAAAUAACAUGGGAAUCAUGUCAUUGAUAAGGCAUAUGGAAAUGGAAUUGUUAAAUGUCAUCUUGGGAGGUUUUCUAGGAACAGUGGAAAUAGCUGGCUUUAUUAACUGGCAUACAGAAAAAGAAGAACUAGCCCGCUUAAAACCAUAAGGAUGCAGUUAUCCAUCCUCCCCUCCCUCCGUCACUGCUUCCUAGCAAAAUGGAUCCCAUUUUAUACAAAAGCACACAAAACACUGCCGACUGGGAUUUAUUUAGGAAUUGCUGAUUCAUAUUCACUUACUGAGGUGUGGGAUCUAAUACUUGAAAAAAGCCACCCAUCCUCCAGUUUUGUUAUGUGCAGUAAGGAUUUUACUUUUCUCACGUAACUUGCUUUGCUAAGGGCGAUGCACAACGCCUGUUUAUGCAAUGCAGUCUCAGAUAAUUUGUACAUUUGUGAGGAGCUCAUUUUGGCUUAAGACAAACAACCUCUUCCAUGGAUGUCAACAGCAAGAAGCAACAAGUGAUGGGGAGCUCAGGGUAAGGAACUGUCAUGGGAAGGCUGUAACUGGAGGACUUGUAGGUUAUACUGGUGUCACCACCAGCAUCCUCACCUAAGAAGUUACCUGCUCCUAUGCUAGGCAAGCUAUUAAAAUGGAGAGCAUAUAUUUCAGCUCUGAAAUGUUAGAGUGAGCUAAACACAAGCCAAACAGAGCACUUGGAACCAAAGCAAGGAAUGUGCAUAGGACAGCAACUGUUUUCAGCAGGAGACCAGCAGGCACUGGCACCCUGUAAAGUAGGAUUGCUGGAGCUCUGUGAGGUCGUGCUCAAACUUUGAAUUUCACCCUAAGUAGCAUUUAAAUAUUUCUUCCUGUGCCUCCCACCCCCUCCUCAUUGCACGCCAAUAGGUCUCAAAAUUCUCUCCUGGAGUGCUAUUGUCAGCACCUUUUUUUUUUUUCCUGUUUCUCUCCCUCUCUUGCUUUUCUUUAUUUUUAAAUAAAAAUUCAUCAAUGUUUUCUGUGGACCCUGUGCCCUCUUCUUCCUUGCUUCCCCAAGAAAGCAAACAACCCCCCAAAAUGCUAGUCUCAGCUAUGCCUGCAGAGUCUACCUGGGAACUGGAUUACAGCCAGUCUCAUCACUGGUCCCCCCGCUGGAGGAGGGGGAUCCUGGGCUGUCCUCUUACAGCAGCUGUAUGUUCCUGUUGUGUACGCUAUGAGCAAAGGGAGUAGGGGAGUCUGCAGGUCUAGCGCUAAUCAUGUGAAUUUGACCAUGGCCCAGCAAUCCUCUCUCACUACUCUUUCGGUAGCUCUGGAGCCAGGUGGUCCCACAGCCCCAGCUAACCCAAGUUAGCCUGGAGGACCCCUGAGCACGUGCCUGGGCUGAGAGAAUCUGCAGCAGUGAGCUGCCAGCAGUGGGCAUGGCUCAGUGACAUUAGUGCCCCCGAGCGCACUAAUAGGGCUUAAUGGCCCUGACCAGGCUCACCUGGGACUCCCACCCCCAGGUCCCAUUUCAGCUUCAGCCUGGUGGUUCGGUCCUUCCUUGAGCUGUUCCGGAGCAGUACCCGUCUCCUGCAUUGACCCUGGACAUGUGCUACAGGCAGCUGGUCUCCUUGACACCUCCCCUUGAAGGUGGGUUCCCAUCUCCUGGAUGAGCUUUAGGUGCAUGUUACAGUCCUUCCUUCUGCUCCCUGCUGGGCUCCCUGGGUGGAGCCUGGGCCUGGGUCAUUGCUCUCCUUCUCCUGGGCUGUUGAUGGAUCCCGUCAGCAGCCCCUGGUUCUGGCUGCGCCGCUGAGACCCCGUGGGACCGUGCUUUGCUGCUGAAGGCAUGGUGUGCACUGGGGUCACCGCUGGCUUCUAGCUUGUCCACCUCCUGCAGAAACCCCAGUUUUGCUGUUUCCUGAUGCAUCCUGUGGCAAAGUCCUGAUUUUGGAGUUCCAUUUAAUCAUGGCUGGCUUUGCAUUCCCAUGGUGUUACAAGCUGCCUUCUGGCUUGUGUUUGAAUGGAGCAUGAGCCUGGAACAGCUGUUUUGGGAUGGGAAACAGAAAACCAAGGAUAAAAUAGAUGUUUUCUAAACAUUCACUCUAGCCUUGGCAGUGAGUUGUGACAUGGAACUAAAUUGCAGGAUGGCAGCCAUAGCAGAAGACAUCUCAGAUGUUUUGUAUUUCAGUUGUUUUGAAGUUCAUUCUCUCUAAAGCACGCUUGGUUUAUCUCCAGUUCAUGCUGCUACUGUAAAUGGAGCAAGGGUUCAAACAACAUGCCUCCUCAGCUACAACGGCAGAGCUCAGAAGCAGCAGCUGGUCAGACUGUUGCUGCAGCAGCAGCUGUAGCGAGGUCAGGUGCUGUGGGCUCUGAGCUCCCUGACCCUCUGCUAGAUAGUACCCGUGGAGCUGAGCUUGCAGGAUGUAGCGCUUGAUUGCUAACAAGUUGGCUGAGUUAGUCCAAACCAUCUCCCCCAGUGGUUUCAAGCAAUGCGAUUACCUGGUGUAGCUGAGGAGUGCUGGCAGGGUCACGCAGCCUGCCCCAGCUGCCGUGGGGAGGAAGGAGGGGAUGCCUGAGGUAAAGAGGCAUCGCACCUCAAGCUCUACAUGUCUGUAUGCAGUGUGUAGCUGCAGCACUUGACUAAAGUUGAUGAAGUAAAACAUAUUAAAAAUGUUUUUCCAAAUGAUGAAAGAUCAGUCGAUUAUGUAAACUGGAAGAGGUGAAGGAAGGAAAGCAAUGGUAUUAAAGAAAUACAGAAGGUAACUUGGAUGUGCCCUGAGAACUGAACUGAUACUUGCAGUUUUCAGUGUUGUUGAUAAGCAAAGGCAGGUAUGAUAAAGGGAUUGAAGUAUGGAAAAGGCUUAAACCCCCCCCAACAAUAAUAAUAAUAAUAA